GCCGCGCUUAGCUCAGUUGGCUAGAGCACCUGACUGUAGAUCAGGGGGUCCCCGGUUCAAGUCCGACCUUCUCUCGACA
rnacentral:tRNA from 1 species